GCUAACUGGGUGGAAGGAAGCGCGGUGGUAAGAGGUGGGCAAUCGGUAAUGGGGAGUACUGGGCGGAAAGCGCGAGUAAGUGGUUGAGUAAGGUGGAAGUGAAAUCCCAGGGCUCAACCUGGGAACUGCUUUCAAAACUGCUGAGCUAGAGUACGGUAGAGGGGUGUGGAAUGUCCUGUGUAGCGGUGAAAUGCGUAGAUAUAGGAAGGAACACCAGUGGCGAAGGCGACCACCUGGACUGAUACUGACACUGAGGUGCGAAAGCGUGGGGAGCAAACAGGAUUAGAUACCCUUGUAGUC
rnacentral:rRNA from 1 species